CGGCUAGCUCGUCGUCUCCUGUUGGACAAGCCCAAGCCAUCCAGUAGUUGCUGAGUACCUGCAACACUUGGAAUGAUGAUUGUGCAAGAAUAAUGAUUGGAACUAAUGCACCGCCUUUCACAGCGGUCAAGUAAGAAGAAAUUCUACCAACAGAAACUUUUCCCUGUGCAAUCGCAUUAAGCAAAUCAGGCAGAUUGAAAAUGGGAUCUUGAAGCAUUCUGAACGUAGCCAAAGCUGACAACACUCUUCCAGCAGUGAGUGGAAUUCCCAUCAAUACACAUCCACCAAAAGUGAUGACCGAGAUAAAAGUUGGCGAACCCCAGUAGAUAAAUGUAGUUAAUGCAGUCAUUCUAAGUGACUUCCAUAGCCAGUUAUGCUCUAUCUUUCUCAAGUCAAUAAGCUUCAGAAGAUAAUGACUGUCCCAUGCUUGCAGUUUGAGAGUCUUCAUGUUUCUAAGAACUUCUGAUGUGGAUUUCAUGCGGUUGUCUUUGGCAUCCAUGAUCUUCGUUUGGUAUCGCUUCUGGAUUCUUGUCAAUGGGAUGUUGCCAGCCAUCACUAUCAGAGUUGUAGCCAACCCGACUAGAGCACCAUUACCAAGAUUUUUGUGGAGAAUGAAGAUUGCUAGGGAGAUUUGUACUGGCAGCAUCCAUAAUGUAUUUAAGAACCAUAUGAAGUCUGUGAUCCUUUGUACAUCAACGCUCAUUAAAUUGAUGAUCUCUCCACUGCUUCGGCUCUGACGUGACUGGCUUGACAAGAUGAGCCCCUUUUUGUAUAUCUGAGAGAUCAAAGCAGCUCUCAGGCGAAGGCCAAGCUGCCGAGCUCCGAAAAUCCACUGCCUCUGUGCUAUAGUCUCCACCAGUUUCGCCCCGAGGAAUCCUAACACAAGUAGAUAUCCACUUUUAAGACUCCUAAAUCUCUUCUCAUUUAGGAAUUCUACAAAGUAAUUGAUAAGGUAAGGUCCUACAUAAGAUGCUCCUGCACCAGUGAUGGCGUAAAGUGCAUUCAUAGUUGCUUUCUUCCUUGCAAAAAUGUACAUUGCCUUGUAGAGAGAUGGUAUAUCACUCCCAUCUCUUUCCUUUAUGUGCUUGAGGCAUUGAUCGAAGUCCUGAGAUAGAAAAACUGCAGAAUCCUUGGUGUCAACAUCCGGGACUUCAUCUUGGUCGAGUGGCUUCUUGAAUCCAAACUCAAACAGCAGGUUAAGCCAAGAGAAGGUGACAAGCUGGAUGAAGGUGGCUUUUCCAUAAGGAUUUUCUCUCUUCACUUUUGAACUCUUAUCUCUUAUCCCAUUCAGAAGGGGAGCAACAAUGUCGUCCUCUGUUGUUGUAAGAGUUACGGCUGCCUUACCUCGGAUGGAUAGAAUAAGAAGACAGAAAGAAGCUGCAAGAUUGAUCAUAUCAUCAUAUUCUUGCAACCCAAGUUGAUCAUGGUUUGUUACCAGGAAAUGAGCAUCAAUCAUCGCCCGAGCAAAACAUAAAAGAAAGCUAGAUGUCCACCAGAAUCUCAAGAUCAAUGGAAACUUGACAUGAUUCCUGCUUCGAAUUUUGUAAAGGACAAUCAGUGUGAUUGUCCAUGAUAUCACCUGCAUCAACCUUGAUGAAAGAACUGUGACUUCGGAUCCACACCCGCUGUGUUGCCAUGGCAGCAACGUCACAACUUGAGUAAUGAGCAUUAAGAUGGCACAGAUGACGCUGAUUCUGUAGGAGAGCCCAUAUUUUAUAUCUGUCGGGAAAGCAACAAAAUCACCAAGAAAACGAGUUGCAUGAUCAUACUGGCAUCUUCCCAGUGGCAGGGGGAGAUCAUCUCUGGCCACUCUACUUCCAAUUGGAGAAACCUUAAAUCUGUCGGAGAUCGUCAGCGAAAAGGAGGUUAUCAACCCAUGAAAAUCAAGCAGAUGAAUCAGUGUGUGUGAGAGAGGGUGAAAGUAAAAACAAAGUGCAAAGCAAACCGGCUCCCUUGAUCGUAAGGUCUAGAGACGUGAAUGAUGAUCGAUUUGUAAUCAGCAAAGACAGUGAAUUAGGAGAGAAGACAAAACAAAACAACGCUAGACGUAACAAAAGGUAUGUAGCAUAUUAUUUCUCCAAGUAUACGUGUUUCCCCUAAGAAUAUAAGUAUACUAGUACUACUUAAUUGUAUGUCUGCUGCGACUGCUAUUGUCUUCAUAAAUCACGUGAGGACGUUUCAGAAAGCCUUUCCUUUCCA